AUCCUGGUUCAGGACGAACGCUGGCGGCGUGCCUAAUACAUGCAAGUCGAGCGCGGGAAGCAAGCAGAUCUCCUUCGGGAGUGACGCUUGUGGAACGAGCGGCGGACGGGUGAGUAACACGUGGGCAACCUACCUGUAAGACUGGGAUAACUCCGGGAAACCGGGGCUAAUACCGGAUGAAACAAAGCGUCGCAUGACGCAAUGUUAAAAGGCGGCAUAUGCUGUCACUUACAGAUGGGCCCGCGGCGCAUUAGCUAGUUGGUGAGGUAAAGGCUCACCAAGGCAACGAUGCGUAGCCGACCUGAGAGGGUGAUCGGCCACACUGGGACUGAGACACGGCCCAGACUCCUACGGGAGGCAGCAGUAGGGAAUCUUCCGCAAUGGACGAAAGUCUGACGGAGCAACGCCGCGUGAGUGAUGAAGGUUUUCGGAUCGUAAAACUCUGUUGUUAGGGAAGAACAAGUGCCAUUCGAAUAGGUUGGCACCUUGACGGUACCUAACCAGAAAGCCCCGGCUAACUACGUGCCAGCAGCCGCGGUAAUACGUAGGGGGCAAGCGUUGUCCGGAAUUAUUGGGCGUAAAGCGCGCGCAGGCGGUCCUUUAAGUCUGAUGUGAAAGCCCACGGCUUAACCGUGGAGGGCCAUUGGAAACUGGAGGACUUGAGUACAGAAGAGGAGAGUGGAAUUCCACGUGUAGCGGUGAAAUGCGUAGAGAUGUGGAGGAACACCAGUGGCGAAGGCGACUCUCUGGUCUGUAACUGACGCUGAGGUGCGAAAGCGUGGGUAUCGAACAGGAUUAGAUACCCUGGUAGUCCACGCCGUAAACGAUGAGUGCUAGGUGUUAGGGGGUUUCCGCCCCUUAGUGCUGCAA
rnacentral:rRNA from 1 species